rnacentral:rRNA from 1 species
ACAGCAGUCGCCACGGUAAUACGUAGGUCCCGAGCGUUGUCCGGAUUUAUUGGGCGUAAAGCGAGCGCAGGCGGUUAGAAAAGUCUGAAGUGAAAGGCAGUGGCUCAACCUUUGUAGGCUUUGGAAACUGUUUAACUUGAGUGCAAGAGGGGAGAGUGGAAUUCCAUGUGUAGCGGUGAAAUGCGUAGAUAUAUGGAGGAACACCGGUGGCGAAAGCGGCUCUCUGGCUUGUAACUGACGCUGAGGCUCGAAAGCGUGGGGAGCAAACAGGAUUAGAUACCCCAGUAGUCCCUGUCUCUUAUACA